rnacentral:rRNA from 1 species
GACGAACGCUGGCGGCGUGCUUAACACAUGCAAGUCGAACGGAAAGGCCCUGCUUUUGUGGGGUGCUCGAGUGGCGAACGGGUGAGUAACACGUGAGUAACCUGCCCUUGACUUUGGGAUAACUUCAGGAAACUGGGGCUAAUACCGGAUAGGAGCUCCUGCUGCAUGGUGGGGGUUGGAAAGUUUCGGCGGUUGGGGAUGGACUCGCGGCUUAUCAGCUUGUUGGUGGGGUAGUGGCUUACCAAGGCUUUGACGGGUAGCCGGCCUGAGAGGGUGACCGGCGACAAUGGGACUGAGAUACGGCCCAGACUCCUACGGGAGGCAGCAGUGGGGAAUAUUGCACAAUGGGCGGGAGCCUGAUGCAGCAACGCCGCGUGCGGGAUGACGGCCUUCGGGUUGUAAACCGCUUUCGCCUGUGACGAAGCGUGAGUGACGGUAAUGGGUAAAGAAGCACCGGCUAACUACGUG